rnacentral:rRNA from 1 species
AGAGUUUGAUCCUGGCUCAGGAUGAACGCUAGCGGGAGGCUUAAUACAUGCAAGUCGAGGGGCAGCACGAUCAGCAAUGAUUGGUGGCGACCGGCGGACGGGUGAGUAACGCGUACCCAACCUACCUUAUACAGGAGCAUAGCCCCGGGAAACUGGGAGUAAUACUCCAUAACAUUACGGAAUCGCAUGAUUCUGUAAUUAAAACUUCGGUGGUAUAAGAUGGGGGUGCGUUCCAUUAGUUAGUUGGUAGGGUAACGGCCUACCAAGACGAUGAUGGAUAGCUGGCGUGAGAGCGCGACCAGCCACACUGGAACUGAGACACGGUCCAGACUCCUACGGGAGGCAGCAGUAGGGAAUAUUGGACAAUGGGGGAAACCCUGAUCCAGCCAUCCCGCGUGCAGGAUGAAGGCCCUCUGGGUCGUAAACUGCUUUUCUUAGGGAAGAAACGCUUGGAUUUAUCCGAGUCUGACGUACCUAAGGAAUAAGCACCGCUAACU